rnacentral:rRNA from 1 species
UACGUAGGUGACCAGCGUUGUCCGGAUUUACUGGGCGUAAAGAGCGCGCAGGCGGUCGUUCAAGUCGAGUGUGAAAGCCCCCGGCUCAACUGGGGAGGGUCAUUCGAUACUGAUCGACUGGAAGGCAGGAGAGGGAAGCGGAAUUCCCGGUGUAGUGGUGAAAUGCGUAGAUAUCGGGAGGAACACCAGUGGCGAAGGCGGCUUCCUGGCCUGUUCUUGACGCUGAGGCGCGAAGGCUAGGGGAGCAAACGGG